rnacentral:rRNA from 1 species
GAUGAACGCUGGCGGCGUGCCUAAUACAUGCAAGUCGAGCGAACAGACGAGGAGCUUGCUCCUUUGACGUUAGCGGCGGACGGGUGAGUAACACGUAGGUAACCUACCUAUAAGACUGGGAUAACUUCGGGAAACCGGAGCUAAUACCGGAUAAUAUUUCGAACCGCAUGGUUCGAUAGUGAAAGAUGGCUUUGCUAUCACUUAUAGAUGGACCUGCGCCGUAUUAGCUAGUUGGUAAGGUAACGGCUUACCAAGGCAACGAUACGUAGCCGACCUGAGAGGGUGAUCGGCCAAACUGGAACUGAGACACGGUCCAGACUCCUACGGGAGGCAGCAGUAGGGAAUCUUCCGCAAUGGGCGAAAGCCUGACGGAGCAACGCCGCGGGAGUGAUGAAGGUCUUCGGAUCUUAAAACUCUGUUAUUAGGGAAGAACAAACGUGUAAGUAACUGUGCACGUCUUGACGGUACCUAAUCAGAAAGCCACGGCUAACUACGUG